UCGUACGUGUCCUUGGGCAUCUGUCACUCCCAGGGACCAUCAGGCUUGGCUGGAGCGAUGCAGUCCUUGACACUGGGUUCUGAAGACUCCGGGAACAUGCGUUCAUUGCUGUUGUUUGGAAAACCAGCCAAGCAUUUGCCAGAGCCCUGGGGCCACCACCUGCGUUAGCCUCCAGCCAAGCAAGGACCUGCAGGGAGGCAUAGACUUGAGGUUCUAGUUUACAUUUUUUCGAAUGAAUGUUAAAACAAAAACAUAACUACUGAAAUUAAAAAUGCUUGUCUGUGCAACACCAAGGUCACCCAGCUUGCCUUGGACGGACCGUCAUCACACUUUGGGAUGAAGAAAGUAAACAUGACAGAACUGUGAUCAGAGCCAAAUAAAUUUCAUCUUUGUUACAAAAUAAAUUGACGAGGACUUUAAAGAAUUACCUCCUCACGGCAUUCCUUUAAAACUUAAUUUCUGGGGCAGUGGUUAAGAAUCCACCUGCCAAUGAAGGGGACACGGGUUCGAGCCCUGGUCCGGGAAGAUCCCACAUGCCGCAGAGCAACUAAGCCCGUGCGCCACAACUACUGAGCCUGUGCUCUAGAGCCCGCAAGCCACAACUACUGAGCCCACGUGCCGCAACUACUGAAGCCCGCGCGCCUAGAGCCUGUGCUCUGCCACAAGAGAAGCCACUGCAAUGAGAAGCCCGUGCACCACAACGAAGAGUGGCCCCCGCUCGCCACAACUAGAGAAAGCCCGUGUGCAACAAUGAAGACCCGACGCCGCCAAAAAUCAAUCAAUCAAUAAAACCUUAAUUUCUGUGUUCUUA